rnacentral:rRNA from 1 species
GAGGAAUAUUGGUCAAUGGAGGCAACUCUGAACCAGCCAUGCCGCGUGAAGGAUGAAGGUCCUCUGGAUUGUAAACUUCUUUUAUAGAAGAAGAAACCCCGGAUUUCUAUCUGGGUUGACGGUACUCUAUGAAUAAGCACCGGCUAACUCCGUGCCAGCAGCCGCGGUAAUACGGAGGGUGCAAGCGUUAUCCGGAUUCACUGGGUUUAAAGGGAGCGUAGGUGGGCUUGUAAGUCAUCGUUGAAAUCCCCGAGCUUAACUUGGGAACUGCCAUUGAUACUACAAGUCUUGAAUUCUGUGGAGGUAAGCGGAAUAUAUCAUGUAGCGGUGAAAUGCUUAGAUAUGAUAUAGAACACCGAUAGCGAAGGCAGCUUACUACGCAGAUAUUGACACUGAGGCUCGAAAGCGUGGGGAUCAAAC